AAAAAAAGAAAAGGGUCGUAGCCCACCAAAUUUCAAUUUGGCAAAUAGGUAAAAGCAAAGAAAGGGAUUUAGGGAAGGGGAAGGACUCACGGCAAACACAAAAGAAAAGAAAAAGAGGGCUUUGGGUAGUAGAAGGAUUCUAACACAGAGAAAACUCACGGGCAAGAAUUAGUUAAGGGAAAAUCUAGUGAAAAGCUUGGAAGCCACUUUUGAAAACAAAAGAAAACGUGAGAUUUGCACUUUUCUUCCAUUGAAGAGCACCAGGAUAAUUCAACGAAGAGAAACUAACUAAACAGAGAAGAAGAAGGUAAAUUUUUUAACUUAAUUUGUAGAUUUGAUUCAUAAAUUCCAUGGCUAUAGAGUUGGGGUAAGAAUUAGUUAGAAGAAUUAAUAUUAAUGAAAUUUUAGGGUUAUAAACUUAUAUAGUCUGUCUAUGCCACACAAAAAAAAAGAGAAGGGAUAUUCCUUCAAAAACCUUUCUGUUUUGUUAGUGAUUGGUAAUCAAAUAUGAUUGCUACUAAUAUUGGUGAUAUUGGAAAAAAAUUUACAAUGUAAUUUUGAUAGCAUUGAGUUGGGAUACUGAAAUGGGUCUUGAUAUUCCAAGUAGAAUAAGAGGGAUUUGUUGGGUUAUUAUAAUUCGGCGAAUUAAGAGCCAAAUAUGAAACUCUGAGGGUUGGGCAUUCUAAAUUAGCUACGAAUUAGCCUAAACAUGGAAAAUUAACAUGAGAUCGAUAUCAUAUAAUUAUAGAUUGAUUGGAGGAAGUUGUACGAAUUGCUCGAGGUGAAGCAUUUGGUAUUUCGGCACGAGUACUGUGAGUAGUAAUCUUACCGCAAUUUGUGUUUUCAUAACUUGCAUGAUUUACACAUGAUUUUAAAUAUGAAUAUGUUACCGAUUAUUUUAAGUUGCAUGUGGGACAAGUCUUUUACUCGAUAUGAUACCGAAAUAGUUAUUGGAGAAGAUUACCUUUGUUUUAAAUAUUUUCAUUGUCACUAGAUCUGUUUUACCGUUACUUGAAUUUACUGUUAUCGAAAAGAAAUUAUAUGAUUUGAUAAGAACCAAAAUGCCCUAUAUUGUUUUAAAAUAUUUUCUAUGAGUAUAUACGGAUUACAGAGACAAGUAUAAAUGGGAGUAGACAUUGAAGGAUCUUGUAGCUAACGGCGGGUUCGUUAGACCUGAUGCACCUUGUAUUUACCGAUUACAGAGUACAGUUAUAGCCAUCUCUAGUGGGAAUGUAGAACUAGCAUACCGUUAUCGAUUUCCCUCGAGUAGGGACUACCGUUAUAUUUGACUUCUUGCGAAGAAGUCCACAGUUAUACUGAUUACAUGAUCCGUUCAUUGAAACCUCCCAAAAUGUGAAUACUGAUAUUAUACAAUGGUUACCGAGCUUAUUACUGAAUUGUAUUUGUAUUAUACUACAAGAAAAGUAUGGUGAGACUGAAAAUUAUUUCUUGUUUCUGAAAGAGCAUUUUUAUGUUAUUUUCUAUUUGAGAUACUAGCAUGUUUUCUAACUUGUCCCCAAUAAAAACGGUUGUGGUUAAGUGUUAUUACUCACUGAGCUAGCGACUCAUUCCCCGCUAAUUUUUUUUUUUACAGAGACAACAGUUAACACGGGCAAGGAUUUCGUUAAUUAGAGUGCACAGGUUGGUUCUUGGUGAGCCUCGCACUUGUUCGCGUGGGCGGAGAUGAUUUUUAUCAAUUGUUAUGGUCUUUUCCUUGAACUCUUAGAGUCGCUCCAUAGUCAUUCCUUUAGUUUUUUGAGUAUUCUUCGUUAUUAUAGACUUAUGUUGAGUAUCAUUCUUAUUUAUCAAAGUUGGAGAUAAAUUAGUACUUCUAGUGGUUAUUUGGUGAUUUAGUUAAUUUGGAGACUUGUAUUGGUUAAUUGACAAGUUGUCAAUUAUUUGGUAUGAUAUUAGGAUGUUUGGUUGUUGAUUUGAGACAGGAAAUUUUUUUUUGGGAUGGUCCAAAAAUAGGGGAAACUCUGUCCGUUUUUCUAUAAAAUUACCGAUGAGGCUUACUUGGGAGCACUUGCUCCUAAGCGCCGGUCACAAUCCUAAAUUGGGUUGUGACAUAAGACUUGGAAACUUUGAUUAUUUUACCAUAAAAAUUGUUGUCAAAAGUGUUUAUAAAUAGAAAUUUCCUUUUUCAUUUCAACCGGCC
rnacentral:lncRNA from 1 species